rnacentral:tmRNA from 1 species
GGGGGUGAUAUGGCUUCGACGUGGGUGAUGGAGCCCAAGGUGCAUGCCGAGGUUACAGUCAACCUCGUAAAACAGACUGUGCAAUAAUAGUUGCCAACGACGACAACUACGCUCUGGCUGCUUGACGGCCAGCCUCUGACCGGGCCGUGCUUGUGCGCUCGGGGUUUCGCGUAAUACGGAACACUCAAGGGGUAACUUCACGCAAGAUCGCCAUGAAGCCCCGCCCCGGGUGGAUUGGUUAAACCUUUGGGGCUCGCCAUGCCCUUUCCCUGUCUUGUCGGGAAGCGGAAUGGUUAAAUAUAAAGGCAGACUAAGCAUGUAGGACCGAAGGUAAAGUGCUUGCGGACGCGGGUUCGAUUCCCGCCACCUCCACCA